CAUGCAAGUCGAGGGGCAGCAUGGUCUUAGCUUGCUAAGGCCGAUGGCGACCGGCGCACGGGUGAGUAACGCGUAUCCAACCUGCCUUACACUCUUGGACAGCCUUCUGAAAGGGAGAUUAAUACAAGAUGUUAUCAUGAGUAAGCAUUUUCGCAUGAUUAAAGGUUUACCGGUGUAAGAUGGGGAUGCGUUCCAUUAGAUAGUAGGCGGGGUAACGGCCCACCUAGUCUUCGAUGGAUAGGGGUUCUGAGAGGAAGGUCCCCCACAUUGGAACUGAGACACGGUCCAAACUCCUACGGGAGGCAGCAGUGAGGAAUAUUGGUCAAUGGACGAGAGUCUGAACCAGCCAAGUAGCGUGAAGGAUGAAGGUUCUAUGGAUUGUAAACUUCUUUUAUACGGGAAUAAACGGAUCCACGUGUGGAUUUCUGCAUGUACCGUAUGAAUAAGGAUCGGCUAACUCCGUGCCAGCAGCCGCGGUAAUACGGAGGAUCCGAGCGUUAUCCGGAUUUAUUGGGUUUAAAGGGAGCGUAGAUGGGUUGUUAAGUCAGUUGUGAAAGUUUGCGGCUCAACCGUAAAAUUGCAAUUGAUACUGGCAGUCUUGAGUGCAGUAGAGGUGGGCGGAAUUCGUGGUGUAGCGGUGAAAUGCUUAGAUAUCACGAAGAACUCCGAUUGCGAAGGCAGCUCACUGGAGUGUAACUGACGCUGAUGCUCGAAAGUGUGGGUAUCAAACAGGAUUAGAUACCCUGGUAGUCCACACAGUAAACGAUGAAUACUCGCUGUUUGCGAUAUACAGUAAGCGGCCAAGCGAAAGCAUUAAGUAUUCCACCUGGGGAGUACGCCGGCAACGGUGAAACUCAAAGGAAUUGACGGGGGCCCGCACAAGCGGAGGAACAUGUGGUUUAAUUCGAUGAUACGCGAGGAACCUUACCCGGGCUUAAAUUGCAAAUGAAUUAUGGGGAAACCCAUACGCCGCAAGGCAUUUGUGAAGGUGCUGCAUGGUUGUCGUCAGCUCGUGCCGUGAGGUGUCGGCUUAAGUGCCAUAACGAGCGCAACCCUUAUCUUCAGUUACUAACAGGUCAUGCUGAGGACUCUGGAGAGACUGCCGUCGUAAGAUGUGAGGAAGGUGGGGAUGACGUCAAAUCAGCACGGCCCUUACGUCCGGGGCUACACACGUGUUACAAUGGGGGGUACAGAAGGCCGCUACCUGGUGACAGGAUGCCAAUCCCAAAAACCUCUCUCAGUUCGGAUCGAAGUCUGCAACCCGACUUCGUGAAGCUGGAUUCGCUAGUAAUCGCGCAUCAGCCAUGGCGCGGUGAAUACGUUCCCGGGCCUUGUACACACCGCCCGUCAAGCCAUGAAAGCCGGGGGUACCUGAAGUACGUAACCGCAAGGAGCGUCCUAGGGUAAAACUGGUAAUUGGGGCUAAGUC
rnacentral:rRNA from 1 species